CUAGUAAAGUGUUCCUGGAAAGACAAGCUUCAUUGCUCCGUAGGCCUUCACGUCUCCGUCCAAUAAAGGGCAAUUGGAACCAGCUGUUGCUGUUCCUAAUCUUUUUCUCUCACCCAGAGUUCUCUGCCUACAGCAGGAGGAAGGAAGGCUGGUUCCCUGAAACUAUUAUGAAUUUAGUAGUGAAACAACAGCUUUAAAAACCUAGUGCUAAUUGCAACAUAUCUCUAUGUCAGAGAGAGGAACAGACUACAGCCACACCACUCAACCUAUGCACCAAGGUAUGCUCUCAAGAGCUGCAGCCAAAUCAUGGAGGAGCUGCGUAUUUAAAAUUUUCAAGAAAAACACAGCAAUACUCCGCAUCUCUCAGUCAUGGAAUGAAAAACAUUAACAACUUCAGCGUAACAUGGGGCUCUGUUCCUUUUGAUGAUAUCAUAACUAGCUGAGCUGUGUUUCCUGCAGUUUCAGGAAAAAAAGAAGAAGAAUUAAGGACCAAUAGACAUAUCAUGCUGGUGAGACAAAAACAGAAAGGAUUAGGGUGAAGAUCAUCUACUUUGGAUUCACAAAUAGUUGGAUUUUGGCCAUUUGUUCACUAUGUGAUCCUUGUUAAUUCAGAAGAAUGUUGCUGUCUCCAAGCAGUUUUGUGUCCAAGAAUGCUGCAGAGAAAAACCAAAGGUCAUCCAUCUAUCUCUUUCCCUUUUGGUGUAGAAUUCCUGUCUUGUCUCCACCCUCUUUCAUUUCCCCUGAUGGAGUUUUAGUAGUCACAAGCUUUCUUUUAUUUCCCCAGAGAAAGGUUCUAUAAUUGAAUCAUUUCUGUGGUUUCCCUAAAAUUUAGCUUUAACUUCUCUGUGGUUUCUUCUAUAUUCAACCCAAUGUACAUUUUAUUAUUAUUUUCUCUCUACUACUGUAAGCCACUCUUCCUCUUCUACAGGAUAAUAGCUGUUAGGAUAAGAGCCAGUAGCAGUUUUUGACAUUUUCUUUGCAAUGUUUCAAAUGAUUCUGUCAGUCAUCAAUGAGUACUAUUAGACUGAAAUGAAUGUUAGGUUUUCAAGAGUCUGAUAUGAUUUAAAACUGAAUCUAUAAGAAAGGUCAGGGGUGGAGGGUGAGGAGUGACUAGGCAUAGUUUUGAGGCUGCAACUGCAGAUCCAUGUAACAUUUACACAUGCUUCCUUUAACUUAGUAUGUAGAGAGUAACUCCUUUUAUCUACUCUGACCCAUUCCAUUAAGUCUACAUAGUCAAUUGAUGUUAGUAUCAUAUUAUAGUCUUUCAUUAAUGUAUUAGUGAAAAUAAAACUAUACUUUUCUUACAGAA